rnacentral:lncRNA from 1 species
UCUCGUUUUUCUUUGGUUUUCUGCUUGUCAUCCCAAACCUUACUAGUAUCUCAAAUUCCUUUUAAAAGUUGAGCAAAAAUUAACAUAAAAUAGGCUAAUUUUGGGAGAAGAAAAAAGAACACUACCAAAAGCAAAAAAAUCCUAACCACAUUCGGCAACAUUAUCAUUGCUUUUCUAUAACCAACCAUCUUCAAACUCAUUAUCACCACCAGCUUAC